GGUGCUGGUUACGGGAUGGACCCAAACUCUGGUUUUGCCCAACACGCUCAAUUGUGGACAUGCACAGUUCAUGCAACGUAUCCAUCCGUGAGAUUGCUGACUGAGUUCCUUCACAAAGUCAUUGAUGGGCUGUGUGGCCAUGCCUUCCCUCGCUAUCCAGACUACAGCACUAUUUGGAAUUUGACAGAAUGGAUGGAGGUUCUAGAACAAACUGCAUCAUACUUCAGGAGAACAGUUGGAAAAGAUCUUUCUGAUGAAGAGGCUGUUUCACCAUUGACCGAGUUAAAUUCCGACACUCAGAGAGCAGUGCUGACUUGCUUGAAAGGCAGGAGACCCGACAUCAGGCAUGCCCUGAUUGAAAAAACAAAUGCCAUUUGCUCUACGCAGCUCCUGAAUUUUGACUGGCAGCUAAAGCUUGCGCUUUCCAGCGAUAAGUUGUCCAUGCUCCAGAUGCCACUUUUAAACCUUGAUCUGGAUCUGUCUAACAGUGGUGACGUCAAGUUGGUCUCUGUUGAAAUGAAUAAAGAAGAGUUACAGACUCUAAUAAGUUCACUGGAAGCGGCAAACAAGAUACCAUUGUACAGCUGGGCUGUGCAGGGCAUUCAGGAGUGCUUUCCAAAGCACAUUGCACACCGCACAUUGCACAAGCACAGCAUCCUUUCUUGAAUCAUGAAAACUGCUCCAUCUUCCAGAUGACCCAGAAGAGCUGCUUCAAAGAUGGUGCCCAACCCUGUGAAUGUGUCAGUGCACGCCCAGACAUGUUGCCGGUGGCUCCUAUUUCCACAGCCCUGUUGCCCAAUGAGUUGUUUUACAGCUGAAAUGAUUCCAAGCAACCUCAGAGCCUCCCAGUGAUGAAAAACAGGACAUUUAUUCUAAAAUACAAAAGGAAAUGUUUUUCUGAGAGACUAAGGUCAGCACAUAAAAGAAGAUGAGAAUCACAAGCUUACCAAGAAUCUUACUGCUAAUCUGCUUCAGACCAACAUUAAUUAAGUACAUUUAGGCUAAGUUGCAGAAAUGUGCAGUGGAACAAAGCUUUCUUGGAUUGUUACACUAUGUCUGAAAAGUUUUGAAGAACUGAAAUUCUGAAGAACUGAAGGUGCUGAAAAUUCACUGGACAUCAUCUUACAUUAGCAGAAGUUGUGUCAAAUUAUUUAGUGUGAAAUUUCCUUUUCCAAUUUGCUUGGGAUUUAUUUUAAAAAGUCACAUAUUAGGAUUACCAUGUGAUUGUCAUACUUAAAAGCAAAAUACUUGUUUCUCAAUUGCAAUGUUUUCUAGUCCAAACUGAGCUCUUUCCUCAAAUACAAAGGAGCAUGCCCACUUAAUUAAGUAUAUCAGAUUGAAGGUGGCAUUAGGAGCACUCCCAUCCAUGUCAAGUAGACUUUUGACAUUAGAGUAAUGUGGGAGAAAUCAGUAAAUAUUUUUAUAGCUGGGUUAUCUGAAAUGAAUGGAACAUAAGAUAUUGAGUAUAUGACAGAAUUGAUACAGUGUUGUAUCUUAGCCCUAUCUGAUUAGACCAUUCAGCCAACUCAAGAUUUAUUAUUCUAUUUCUGGGUAGAUCAAAUUUAGAUGUGUUCUUUUGGUUAUGAGAUACUUUAAGUUUGAAUUACAGAGUAGCAACAAAACAAUUAUUACAAAAUCCAAGCCCACAUAACAGCCCUUGCUAUUAUUAAAUCCAAGCUUACAUAAUUCUACUUGUAGAAAUGUAAAUGUUCACAUACUUUUCCCUCCUGAAAGCAAAAUGCAGUAUAUGUUUGUAUAAGUCUAUAAAUAAACUACUUAAAU